rnacentral:rRNA from 1 species
UACAUGGGGUGCAACCGUUGCUCGGAAUUAUUGGGCGUAAAGGGCGCGUAGGCGGUCAGCACAAGUCAGUUGUGAAAUCUCCGGGCUUAACUCGGAAAGGUCAACUGAUACUGUGCGACUAGAGUGCAGAAGGGGCAACUGGAAUUCUCGGUGUAGCGGUGAAAUGCGUAGAUAUCGAGAGGAACACCUGCGGCGAAGGCGGGUUGCUGGGCUGACACUGACGCUGAGGCGCGAAAGCCAGGGGAGCGAACGGG